rnacentral:tRNA from 1 species
GGUCUUAUAUUCAAUAAUGAUUUUAGAAUGCAAUUCUUAAGGAGCGGGUUUCUGCUAAGGCUU